rnacentral:rRNA from 1 species
UACGUAGGGGGCUAGCGUUGUCCGGAUUUAUUGGGCGUAAAGAGCGUGUAGGCGGCCAGAUAGGUCUGCUGUGAAAACUCGAGGCUCAACCUCGAGAUGUCGGCGGAAACCAUUUGGCUAGAGUCCGGAAGAGGAAAGUGGAAUUCCUGGUGUAGCGGUGAAAUGCGCAGAUAUCAGGAGGAACACCGAUGGCGAAGGCAGCUCGCUGGGACGUGACUGACGCUGAGACGCGAAAGCGUGGGGAGCGAACCGG